rnacentral:rRNA from 1 species
CUACGUGCCAGCAGCCGCGGUAAUACGGAGGAUGCGAGCGUUAUUCGGAAUCAUUGGGUUUAAAGGGUCUGUAGGCGGGCUAUUAAGUCAGGGGUGAAAGGUUUCAGCUUAACUGAGAAAUUGCCUUUGAUACUGGUAGUCUUGAAUAUCUGUGAAGUUCUUGGAAUGUGUAGUGUAGCGGUGAAAUGCUUAGAUAUUACACAGAACACCGAUUGCGGAGGCAGGGGACUAACAGAUGAUUGACGCUGAGAGACGAAAGCGUGGGGAGCGAACAGGAUUAGAUACCCUGGUAGUCCACGCUGUAAACGAUGGAUACUAGCUGUUUGGCGUAAGCUGAGUGGCUAAGCGAAAGUGAUAAGUAUCCCACCUGGGGAGUACGCACGCAAGUGUGAAACUCAAAGGAAUUGACGGGGGCCCGCACAAGCGGAGGAACAUGUGGUUUAAUUCGAUGAUACGCGAGGAACCUUACCCGGGCUUGAA